rfam:Eubacterium sp. CAG:274 genomic scaffold, scf82
AAGGUUUUGCAUAACUGACGGAGUGUGGAUAACCACAAGGGAGUGCAAAAUGUCGAUGCCGACCGUCUGGGCAGAUAAA